UACGUAGGGGGCAAGCGUUGUCCGGAUUUAUUGGGCGUAAAGAGCGUGUAGGCGGUUUGGUAGGUCCGCUGUGAAAACUCGAGGCUCAACCUCGAGACGCCGGUGGAAACCAUCAGACUAGAGUCCGGAAGAGGAGAGUGGAAUUCCUGGUGUAGGAGUGAAAUCCGUAGAUAUCAGGAGGAACAUCGGAGGCGAAAGCGGCCGACUGGGAGAGUAUUGACACUAAGGUGCGAAAGCGUGGGGAGCAAACAGG
rnacentral:rRNA from 1 species